AUCUAUGGAUGAAAGCGGGGGACCGUAAGGCCUCGCGCGAUUGGAGCGGCCGAUAUCAGAUUAGCUAGUUGGUGGGGUAAAAGCCCACCAAGGCGACGAUCUGUAGCUGGUCUGAGAGGACGACCAGCCACACUGGAACUGAGACACGGUCCAGACUCCUACGGGAGGCAGCAGUGGGGAAUUUUGGACAAUGGGCGCAAGCCUGAUCCAGCAAUGCCGCGUGCAGGAUGAAGGCCUUCGGGUUGUAAACUGCUUUUGUACGGAACGAAACGGUCCUUUCUAAUAUAAGGGGCUAAUGACGGUACCGUAAGAAUAAGCACCGGCUAACUACGUGCCAGCAGCCGCGGUAAUACGUAGGGUGCGAGCGUUAAUCGGAAUUACUGGGCGUAAAGCGUGCGCAGGCGGUUAUAUAAGACAGAUGUGAAAUCCCCGGGCUCAACCUGGGACCUGCAUUUGUGACUGUAUAGCUAGAGUACGGUAGAGGGGGAUGGAAUUCCGCGUGUAGCAGUGAAAUGCGUAGAUAUGCGGAGGAACACCGAUGGCGAAGGCAAUCCCCUGGACCUGUACUGACGCUCAUGCACGAAAGCGUGGGGAGCAAACAGGAUUAGAUACCCUGGUAGUCCACGCCCUAAACGAUGUCAACUGGUUGUUGGGUCUUCACUGACUCAGUAACGAAGCUAACGCGUGAAGUUGACCGCCUGGGGAGUACGGCCGCAAGGUUGAAACUCAAAGGA
rnacentral:rRNA from 1 species